GCGAGUGAAGCGGGAAGAGCACAAAUUUAAAAUCUACCUGGUUUCCAGGUCGAGUUGUAAUUUGAAGAUACGUUUUUGAUGUUCCUGGUUGGACUAAAUCCUUUGGGAUAAGGUAUCAUAAAGGGUGAGAAUCCCAUGUAUACCAACCACAGGGAUGUUAUUUAAUAACGUUUCUAAGAGUCGAGUUGUUUGGGAAUGCAGCUCUAAAUGGGUGGUAAAUUUCACCUAAUGCUAAAUAUAAGCGAGAGACCGAUAGCGAACAAGUACAGUGAUGGAAAGAUGAAAAGAACUUUGAAAAGAGAGUUAAAUAGUAUGUGAAAUUGUUGAAAGGGAAACGAUUGAAGUCAGUCAUGCCAACGGGAAUCAACUUAGAGGAAACUCUGGGUGCACUUCUUCGUUUGGCAGGUUAGUGUCAAUUUUGGAUGUCAUAAAAUAAUUGGGGGAAGGUAGCUCUUUCGGGAGUGUUAUAGCCCUUGGUAGAUGUGAUGUCUGGGAUCGAGGAUUGCAACGGAUACCCUUCGGGGCUAACCGCCUGAUCUCUAAUUGGUGUUGGGUUACGGACAGCAUGCUGACCGUGAUCUAAUUACUGGUUAAAAGGUUAGAGCGUGUAUAAAUUCGUUAAGGACAC
rnacentral:rRNA from 1 species